rnacentral:rRNA from 1 species
UACGUAGGGGGCAAGCGUUGUCCGGAAUCAUUGGGCGUAAAGCGCGCGUAGGCGGCCCGAUCAGUCCGCUGUAAAAGUCCAGGGCUCAACCCUGGAAAGCCGGUGGAUACUGUCGGGCUAGAGUCCGGAAGAGGCGAGUGGAAUUCCUGGUGUAGCGGUGGAAUGCGCAGAUAUCAGGAGGAACACCGAUAGUGAAGGCAGCUCGCUGGGACGGUACUGACGCUGAGGUGCGAAAGCGUGGGGAGCGAACAGG